rnacentral:tRNA from 1 species
GCGUGAACGUAGUAAUGAUGGGUAACUUGUUGAUUUAAAAUAAAGUUCAACGACCUUCUAAGUCGUGGGCCGCAGGUUCGAAUCCUGCAGGGCGCGCCA